ensembl:snRNA U6 U6 spliceosomal RNA
GUGCUCACUUCGGCAGCACAUAAUACUAAAAUUGGAAUGAUACAGAGAUUAGCAAGGCCCCUGUGCGAGGAUGACAUAUGCAAAUUCAUGAAGCAUUCCAUAUUAAA